rnacentral:lncRNA from 1 species
CUCAAGUAUGCAUAUUUAUGUUUAGAUAAGUAAGACAAACUUACCAGAUCAUACAAUUUUAAUUGAAUCCCUGCCUAAAGAUUAGCUCUUAAAAGAAGUUAACAGUGUCAGUUUACACAUGAAUAAAUAAAAAUUGAAAAAAAUAAAAAUCAAUAUUGAUGUUUAAUUUUAUAAUAUAUUCCUUUUUUAGUGAGUAACUGAGCUACAUGGAAUGGGGGCAUUGAAUUCGCCCAUGUGUAGAUCUGAAUCAUAACAGUACUCUAUAACCCUGGACAAGUCCUUUAGCUUUAGAGACCAUGUUUUCUAUUCUAUAAGUGUUAUUAAUAAUACUACUUUCCUCAGAGGGUCAUUGUGGAGAUUUAAUAAAAUAAUGCAACAGUAAGUUUUUAGAAUAUAAUCUGAUAAAUGGCAAAUUAUUAUUCUUAAAUUAUUUCACUUUUUAAAGUAAAACCUAUUUUUCACAAUUUCAGAAAUUGCUAUUUCUAUUAUAAUGAUCUACCAUAGCUUUCUAAUAGGCUAUCUAUUAAUCAUCAGAUGAUAGGUUUUCUUCUUGGGAAUGAUUUUCAAACAGAAUGAUAGAAAUUUAAAGGUAGAGUCUUAUAAAGAUGAUAACAUAGGAAUCAGAACUACUUGUUAAAAUAAUUAUUUGUAUUAUAUAGUUGUAUCAUCUUAGUGAGUUGGGGUGGGGUUGGGGGACAGUUGGGCUGAAAGUGGAUUAACUGAGGCCAAUUUUCCCUCAUCUUUGUUACCCAGAUUCCAGGGAAAGAUCAAUUACUCUGGACAGAAGGACCCCUUGCAUAAAGUGGCUGCUUCAACUGCUCUGACCACAGCACUUUCACUGACUACAACUCUAGACACAGUAACUAUUUGGGCACACCACAAUAAACUGACAGGCACCUUCCACUCCCUGUAUUAAGCCAAGCAUUCAUUAGCUACUUUUCCUGAUGCUCUCCCUCUUCCUCAUCACCGUUAUGCAGCAAUGAAAGGGGACAAGAUCAUGUCCUUAGCAGGAACAUGGAUGGAGCUGGAGGCCAUUAUAUUCAGCAAACGAAUGCAGGAGCUGGAGAUGCAGCAAGGAAGACAGCUAUGACCACUGCUCCAAAGUACUUAUGAGAACAGACUCAAAAUUAACAUGUGAACGAAUAGAUAAUGACAGUGAUAAGAUCACAGAGGGGAUAAUACAGAGGAUAUAUUAGAGAACUAUUUGAACGUAUCUAAAUGGCAGAGGGGAAUUCUCACUGAAGCUUUUUUUGGUGGGGUGACAUUUAAUCUAAAAUCUGAGUAACAGUAGGAGGACUGUCUUUCCAAAUGAUUUGGAAAAGCAUUGCAAGCAGAAAGGAAAACACAUGCUAAUAAAAUUUUAAAAUACCUGGCAUAUUUGAAGAAUAAUAACAAAAUAAACAGAUGUGGUUAAUACUAAUGAGUGAGGAGUCUUAGUGAGUGAGGCAAGAUGCUAUCUCAGACAAGGUCCUAUAGAUAACAGUCAAGAGUAUGGAAAAUUCUCUUAUUCAAUAAUGAGCCAUCAGAGAGUUUUAAGCAAGGUCUUGUACUGAUCUGAUUCACAUUUUUGGAAGAUGACACAUGAUCAUAAUCCAAAACUCAGUUUACUACAGGAGGCAGGCCAGUAGCCUAAUGAGUCAUGUGGGUUUGAUGUACACAAAUGGCAAUGUACUGAACUGAAG